GGAGAGGAAUCAUCCUUAUGUUCGCUGUGUUCUGUUACCAAUUUAUUCAAGAAAGAAGGAAAUGGACAUGAAAGCAGAAGUUGCAACUGUCAAACCAAAUGUUACUGUAUUGGAUCAAUCACAGAGCUUAGUGGGUUUAACUGCUAGAUGAAGAGUCUCAGAUUAACUAUAUGAUGAAGGUACACUUCUCGACACUAUUUGGCAGAUGCCUACCAGGUCUCACACACAUGGUAGUAUUAAAUACGUGUAUUAGACUCAUAUUUGUAACAUAAGCAUACAAUCAUGCCUGUGCUAGGUCAGAACAAGGAUCCUCCAACCCUGAAGUUUUUUCUCCACAGUGGUUAUAGGCCAGGAAGAGCAAGUCCUUCCCCUGAACACUGUCCUUGGCUCCAACUACAUUUAGUUUGGGGGAUUUUCUGAGCCAUGUAUGUGUUCUUUAUAUUUAAAGAAUAUAACGAAAACCAGCUUAAACAACGACACCAAGCCAAAUAGAUCUCUGCUCUGAAUUUUGUUCAGUCUUCCCUUGAAUUCAUGCCAGCUUGAAGCAGGCAAAGUUCAGCAGGUCUGCUUUUUCUUUGCAUGAAGCAUUGGAGUGCAGAGGGAUCCCGGGAAGGAUAAAGCACCUGGUUCCUAGCAGCUUUGUUUGAUUCUUCCCAACAGCUACAUGUUGCACACCUUUUCUUUUUUUUUUCCCCUUCAUUAGAAUUCUAUGUAUUUGCAGUUUUUCUGUCAGUUUUAAUAGGAUGGCUGAGAUUUUUAGUACAAAAUAAGUGAAAGUUUGGUCGAGACUAGUGAAAGUUUCAGUUAAAGUAAAAACUGAAGCAAUGGGCUUAUUUUAUUUUCAUUAAUACUAAAAUUGAAAACUUCUGCUCACAUAAAGGCAUUAUUGUGAAAAGCAUUAAAAUUGUACUGGCCUUAUCGUCCAAUUCAGGAUAAGCUUCCCAAUCACAAUUAAGAGAUUUCUCCAUAAAUCCAGAUUGUAUUUUUGGAUCAAUUUAUUUUCCCUAUUCAUUUUGAGAAGGAAUGUCAUAACUGGUAACACUGACCUUUAAGCACCAACAGAUAAAUGCUAAUUUCUGUCCUUCUUUUGGCUAGUGGUUUAUGGCAAAUCAUCACCAAAUGACACUGAAACCUUUUUAACUACGCAGUUCUUAUCAGUUUAGACAUCUUCCUGCCUUCAACCACAU
rnacentral:lncRNA from 1 species